rnacentral:rRNA from 1 species
UACGUAGGGUGCGAGCGUUAAUCGGAAUUACUGGGCGUAAAGCGUGCGCAGGCGGUCUGUUAUGUCUGAUGUGAAAGCCCCGGGCUCAACCUGGGAAUGGCAUUGGAAACUGGCAGGCUCGAGUUUGGCAGAGGGGGGUGGAAUUCCGCGUGUAGCAGUGAAAUGCGUAGAGAUGCGGAGGAACACCGAUGGCGAAGGCAGCCCCCUGGGCUAAGACUGACGCUCAGGCACGAAAGCGUGGGGAGCAAACAGG